rnacentral:rRNA from 1 species
AAUGAACGCUGGCGGCAGGCCUAACACAUGCAAGUCGAACGGAUCCUUCGGGAUUAGUGGCGGACGGGUGAGUAACGCGUGGGAACAUACCCAAAGGUACGGAAUAGCCUCGGGAAACUGGGAGUAAUACCGUAUGUGCUCGAAAGAGGAAAGAUUUAUCGCCUUUGGAUUGGCCCGCGUUGGAUUAGGUAGUUGGUGGGGUAAUGGCCUACCAAGCCGACGAUCCAUAGCUGGUUUGAGAGGAUGAUCAGCCACACUGGGACUGAGACACGGCCCAGACUCCUACGGGCGGAAGCAGUGGGGAAUCUUAGACAAUGGGGGAAACCCUGAUCUAGCCAUGCCGCGUGAUCGAUGAAGGCCUUAGGGUUGUAAAGAUCUUUCAGGUGGGAAGAUAAUGACUGUACCACCAGAAGAAGCCCCGGCUAACUCCGUGCCAGCAGCCGCGGUAA